UUCAUUAGAAGUAACGAGUUGACACAAGGUAAAUCUAACAUUGAGGCGCCAUUCUCUCGGUCUGCGGAGCGCCCUCAUUAACUGUCGCUAACAAGCCGUGCAAAAACACUGAUUGGACAGCUUUGGUAUAACUUCGUGCACUUAGCAGGACGCCCACUUAAUGAG
rnacentral:sRNA from 1 species